rnacentral:rRNA from 1 species
GAUGAACGCUGGCGGCGUGCCUAAUACAUGCAAGUCGAGCGAAUGGAUUAAGAGCUUGCUCUUAUGAAGUUAGCGGCGGACGGGUGAGUAACACGUGGGUAACCUGCCCAUAAGACUGGGAUAACUCCGGGAAACCGGGGCUAAUACCGGAUAACAUUUUGAACCGCAUGGUUCGAAAUUGAAAGGCGGCUUCGGCUGUCACUUAUGGAUGGACCCGCGUCGCAUUAGCUAGUUGGUGAGGUAACGGCUCACCAAGGCAACGAUGCGUAGCCGACCGGAGAGGGAGAUCGGCCACACUGGGACUGAGACACGGCCCGGACUCCUACGGGAGGCAGCAGUAGGGAAUCUUCCGCAAUGGACGAAAGUCUGACGGAGCAACGCCGCGUGAGUGAUGAAGGCUUUCGGGUCGUAAAACUCUGUUGUUAGGGAAGAACAAGUGCUAGUUGAAUAAGCUGGCACCUUGACGGUACCUAACCAGAAAGCCACGGCUAACUACGUGCCAGCCGCCGCCGUAA